rnacentral:rRNA from 1 species
UACGUAGGGCGCAAGCGUUGUCCGGAAUUAUUGGGCGUAAAGAGCUCGUAGGCGGUCUGGUAAGCGUGUGGUGAAAGCUCGGGGCUCAACCCCGAGUCGGCCGUGCGAACUGCUGGACUGGAGCAUGUCAGAGGCAGGCGGAAUUCCGGGUGUAGCGGUGGAAUGCGUAGAGAUCCGGAAGAACACCGGUGGCGAAGGCGGCCUGCUGGGACAUGGCUGACGCUGAGGCGCGACAGCGUGGGGAGCAAACAGG